rnacentral:rRNA from 1 species
CCUACGGGAGGCAGCAGUGGGGAAUAUUGGGCAAUGGGCGCAAGCCUGACCCAGCAACGCCGCGUGAAGGAAGAAGGCUUUCGGGUUGUAAACUUCUUUUGACAGGGAAGAGUAGAAGACGGUACCUGUCGAAUAAGCCACGGCUAACUACGUGCCAGCAGCCGCGGUAAUACGUAGGUGGCAAGCGUUGUCCGGAUUUACUGGGUGUAAAGGGAGCGUAGGCGGCAAUACAAGUCGGAAGUGAAAUACCCGGGCUCAACCUGGGAACUGCUUUGGAAACUGUAUGGCUGGAGUGCUGGAGAGGU